rnacentral:lncRNA from 1 species
GGAUUACAGGCGUGAGCCACCGUGCCCAGCCUAACCCGAGGGCAGAGGUUGCAGUGAGCCAAGAUUGUAUCACUGCACUCCAGCCUGGGCGACAAGAGUGAGACUCCAUCUCAAAAACAGAAAAACACAAACAACAAAAACAAACAAACAAACAAACUAGUUCAAAAAUGAAACACAAAAACUAAAAAAAAAAAAAAGCACUUAAAAAGACCAACUUCCCUGAGCCUCAUGUUGUCAGGCCACUCUCCUCUGCCCACUUACUACAGGUGGACUCACAGGUGAUGUUCCUCGGUCUCUUUCCUCUAGUUCUAGGUCUCCCCCAGGCAACUUUAUGUGCCAUCAUCUGGGAGCAGUUAAAUGAACCUUCAAGGCGGGAAGGGGAAAUCUUCCCUUGGUCUCCACGGUCUCUAAAGGACGGCUGACAGAGAGAGACAUUUGUCCACUGGUUCCCCAACAACCUCCCAACACCUUUGUUGGCUGAAAGUUGACCCCAAGACAGUCAACUCUCCGGACUUUCCAGCUGCCUUGGAAAAACCCUAAAUGUCCGCCCCAGCUGCAGUCGAAAUUAGAGGAAGGAGGUCCUAUUGCCAUCCCCCAUUGUAUAGAUGGGGAAACUGAGGCUCAGAGGGAUUUAUUAACUUGCCCUCCAACACACAGCAGAGUGAUCCUGGGUGGAUUCCUCACCCUGCUGAGAAUGUGAGGUGGGACGACUUUGAAGAUGUGUGGAGACAGCAUGGAAGAAGAGCUAGAUCACUAGCCAGAUAAUUCCAGAUUCAAGUUCCAGCUCUACUGCCACGUGCACUUGGACAAGAUGCUCUGUAUCACCGAUCUUCAGUCUCUGAAUCUGCAAAAUGGGUGGAUUAGUCCACUUUCAUGCUGCUAAUAAAGACAUACCAGAUACUGGGUAAUUUAUAAAAGAAAGCGGUUUAAUGGACUCACAGUUCCACAUGGGUGCGGAGGCCUCACAAUUAUGGCGGAAGGCAAGAGAGAGCAAAGCGACGUCUUACGUGGUGGCAGGCAAAGAGAGAGAGCUUGUAUAGGGGAACUCCCCUUUAUAAAACCGUCAGAUCUCGUGAGACUCAUUCGCUAUCAUGAGAACAGCACGAGAAAGACCUGCCACCAUGAUUCAAUUACCUCCCAUUGGGUCCCUCCCAUGACACAUGGGAAUUAUGGGAGCUACAAUUCAAGAUGAGAUUUGAGUGGGGACACAGCCAAACCAUAUCAAUGGGGUAAAGGAUGCCUAUGUUGCAAAUUCAUUGGGCACACUAAAUGAUAUGAUAUAUGCACAGCAUUGGAAUGGUGCCUGGCAUACAGCAGACAAGCUUGAUCAGUGUCUGCCUCUACCAGCAGUUAGCACUAGCACCCAGGACAGCUCCCCGGUCCCUGCCUGGAUGCUGUCCGCGGUGCUGAUAAAGGAUUACAAUCUCUACCAUUCUUCCCCGUGUCUCCAAGUUCAUCGGCCUCUGUGACGUUCUCAGACGUCUCCGAGAUCAAGGGGGGUGGUGUGCAUGCUACUUUCACAAUUUUCUCUUAGACAUUUGUCAAUAAGCUCAAAAUACAGUUGUAGAAUGAAGGCUAUCCUUCCUGUGGUGGUAGAUUUGUUCAUUUUCCUCCUGUAUAUUUCAUUGAAUGCCCUUUGUGUUGGGUCCAAGAGACUGAGCUCAGUAAGUAUAGUUAUAUUAAAAACAAGGACA